CCUACGGGUGGCAGCAGUGAGGAAUAUUGGUCAAUGGACGAGAGUCUGAACCAGCCAAGUAGCGUGAAGGAUGACUGCCCUAUGGGUUGUAAACUUCUUUUAUAUGGGAAUAAAAUGUUCCACGUGUGGGAUUUUGUAUGUACCAUAUGAAUAAGGAUCGGCUAACUCCGUGCCAGCAGCCGCGGUAAUACGGAGGAUCCGAGCGUUAUCCGGAUUUAUUGGGUUUAAAGGGAGCGUAGGUGGAUUGUUAAGUCAGUUGUGAAAGUUUGCGGCUCAACCGUAAAAUUGCAGUUGAAACUGGCAGUCUUGAGUACAGGAGAGGUGGGCGGAAUUCGUGGUGUAGCGGUGAAAUGCUUAGAUAUCACGAAGAACUCCGAUUGCGAAGGCAGCUCACGGGACUGCAACUGACACUGAGGCUCGAAGGUGUGGGUAUCGAACAGGAUUAGAUACCCGAGUAGUC
rnacentral:rRNA from 1 species